AAAGUAGGCCGUCUUAUCGCUUUUAAUUUAUUAAAAGAGGAAAGUCCGGACACCACAGAGCAGUAUAAUGGUUAACGGCCAUCAAUUGUGAAAUUAGGACAAGUGCAACAGAAAGAAUGUACAGGUUAUGCUGUAGUGAAAUCAGGUAAACUCUAUACGGUGCAAUGUCAUGUAAACCGACUUUAAGACUUGCUCGGUCAUUGUUGGAGGGUAGACAGCUAGAGGUUUUUGGUAACAAAAACUCCAGAUAAAUGAUAAGAUUUUCUUUUUAGAAAAACAGAAUCCGGCUUAUAGGCCUACUUUAUUU
rnacentral:RNase_P_RNA from 1 species